rnacentral:sRNA from 1 species
UGAAGCUACAAUUCAUCCUCAUUACGCGGUCAAAGUCUUGGGAGGAUGCGGUCCAGGCGCGGUUAUUCGCAGCCGCCGGCGAUGAUACGGCUAAGGAUCGGACGCGUUGAGUUAGCAAGGCCUCUGGCCUUGCAUUUUUU